rnacentral:rRNA from 1 species
AGUGAACGCUGGCGGUAGGCCUAACACAUGCCAGUCGAACGGCAGCACAGUAAGAGCUUGCUCUUACGGGUGGCGAGUGGCGGACGGGUGAGGAAUACAUCGGAAUCUACUUUUUCGUGGGGGAUAACGUAGGGAAACUUACGCUAAUACCGCAUACGACCUGCGGGUGAAAGCAGGGGAUCUUCGGACCUUGCGCGAUUGAAUGAGCCGAUGUCGGAUUAGCUAGUUGGCGGGGUAAAGGCCCACCAAGGCCACGAUCCGUAGCUGGUCCGAGAGGAUGAUCAGCCACACUGGAACUGAGACACGGUACAGACUCCUACGGGAGGCAGCAGUGGAGAAUAUUGGACAAUGGGCGCAAGCCUGAUCCAGCCAUACCGCGUGGGUGAAGAAGGCCUUCGGGUUGUAAAGCCCUUUUGUUGGGAAAGAAAAGCAGCAGGUUAAUACCCCGCUGUUCUGACGGUACCCAAAGAAUAAGCACCGGCUAACUUCGUG